rnacentral:rRNA from 1 species
UACGUAGGGGGCUAGCGUUGUCCGGAAUCAUUGGGCGUAAAGCGCGUGUAGGCGGUCCGGUAAGUCCGCUGUGAAAGUCGGGGGGCUCAACCCUCGGAUGCCGGUGGAUACUGUCGGGCUUGAGUACGGAAGAGGCGAGUGGAAUUCCUGGUGUAGCGGUGAAAUGCGCAGAUAUCAGGAGGAACACCAAUGCGAAGGCAGCUCGCUGGAACGUUACUGACGCUGAGACGCGAAAGCGUGGGGAGCAAACAGG